rnacentral:rRNA from 1 species
GACGAACGCUGGCGGCGUGCUUAACACAUGCAAGUCGAACGGAAAGGCCCUGCUUUUGUGGGGUGCUCGAGUGGCGAACGGGUGAGUAACACGUGAGUAACCUGCCCUUGACUGUGGGAUAACUUCAGGAAACUGGGGCUAAUACCGGAUAGGAGCUCCUGCUGCAUGGUGGGGGUUGGAAAGUUUCGGCGGUUGGGGAUGGACUCGCGGCUUAUCAGCUUGUUGGUUGGGUAGUGGCUUACCAAGGCUUUGACGGGUAGCCGGCCUGAGAGGGUGGCCGGCCACAUUGGGACUGAGAUACGGCACAGACUCCUACGGGAGGCAGCAGUGGGGAAUAUUGCACAAUGGGCGGAAGCCUGAUGCAGCAACGCCGCGUGCGGGAUGACGGCCUUCGGGUUGUAAACCGCUUUCGCCUGUGACGAAGCGUGAGUGACGGUAAUGGGUAAAGAAGCACCGGCUAACUACGUG